rnacentral:misc_RNA from 1 species
AAGGAGUCCAACACAUACGCGAGUGUUUGGGUGGCAAACCCGAGCGCGAAAUGAAAGUGAAUGUAGGUGGGAUCCUUCGGGUGCACCAUCGACCGGUCUGGAUUCUUUUGAAAGAUCUGAGUAAGAGCGUAUUUGUUGGGACCCGAAAGAUGGUGAACUAUGCCUGAAUAGGGUGAAGUCAGAGGAAACUCUGAUGGAAGCUCGUAGCAGUUCUGACAUGCAAAUCGAUCGUCAUAUUUGGGUAAAGGGACGAAAGAAUACUCGCACCACCAGGUAGCUGGUUCCCUC